AGGAGCGAAAGGGUGGGGAGCAAACAGGCUUAGAUACCCUGGUAGUCCACCCCGUAAACGUUGGGAACUAGUUGUGGGGGCCUUUCCACGGUCUCCGUGACGCAGCUAACGCAUUAAGUUCCCCGCCUGGGGAGUACGGCCGCAAGGCUAAAACUCAAAGGAAUUGACGGGGACCCGCACAAGCGGCGGAGCAUGCGGAUUAAUUCGAUGCAACGCGAAGAACCUUACCAAGGCUUGACAUACACCGGAAACGUCCAGAGAUGGUCGCCCCUUUUUGGUCGGUGUACAGGUGGUGCAUGGUUGUCGUCAGCUCGUGUCGUGAGAUGUUGGGUUAAGUCCCGCAACGAGCGCAACCCUCGUUCUAUGUUGCCAGCACGUUAUGGUGGGAACUCAUGGGAUACUGCCGGGGUCAACUCGGAGGAAGGUGGGGAUGACGUCAAAUCAUCAUGCCCCUUAUGUCUUGGGCUUCACGCAUGCUACAAUGGCCGGUACAAUGGGCUGCGAUACCGUGAGGUGGAGCGAAUCCCAAAAAGCCGGUCCCAGUUCGGAUCGUAGUCUGCAACUCGACUACGUGAAGUCGGAGUCGCUAGUAAUCGCAGAUCAGCAACGCUGCGGUGAAUACGUUCCCGGGUCUUGUACACAC
rnacentral:rRNA from 1 species